ACCCAUCUGGUGGUUGAUACUGGCUGAGGGCUGAGAUUCAAGCUGCCGUGCCUGUCAGAGCACUCACAGAUGCUUCUCCAUGUCACCUGGGCUUCCUUACAACAUGGCGGCUGGUGUUCCAAAGAACUGAGCAGACAGCAGCGGCAUUAGUUGCUCGUGUCUGGGACUCCAUGGAACGUGUGAACCCCGGAGGCGGAGGUUGUGGUGAGCUGAGAUCGCGCCAUUGUACUCCAGCCUGGGCAACAAGAGCGAAACUCCAUCUCCAAAAAAUAGGUGAGGCAAUCCAAGGCUGACAGCUGAAAGCCACCUCUGGCGGAACUCCCAGGACCUGGGCAAAUAAGGCAACGGAGGCCAGAGGAGGUUCAGUGACGCACCCAGGGCCACAUAACCAGUGAAUGUUGGGGAUCAGAUUAGAGUGCCCAUGUCUCCAGCCUCCUUCUACCAUUGACGUCAUCACACUGACUAUCCGGGCAGGACCCUCCCACCGCGUCUGAGAGCUCAGGCUUGAUUUCACUGCCAAGCCGAUAAUGUCGGCAACAGCACUUACGGUGCUGGCCCAUAAUUGAAACAAGCUUUGAGAGUUAACUGCCACCCCAGAAGCCUCAGGGAGGAGGUGGCUGCCCUCAAAGGCUCAGUCUUGUAUUCUGUAACCUCUCUACCCUGAAGAGGAUCCCACCAGCUGCCUCUUCUUCCAGAUCCUGCCAAGAAUUAGACAUCUCCCGACCCCACUCCCAGGCCCCUUCUCCAUAUCCUCCCUGUCGAUCAUCCCCUUUAAACUAAUAGAAAACGGUGAAUAAUUUUCUAUCAUGCAUCUUUGGAUUGUUUACUGAUUACCAUAAACAGUAGCUGCAUUUGAAAUGCA
ensembl:lncRNA